ACUAAAAUAACAAUAAAGAAUUAAAGUAUUAAAUGAUAAAUCAUUAAAUUUAUAAGAUUUGGCAGUAUUUAAUUCAUAUUAGAGGAACUUGUUUAGUAAUUGAUAAUCCACGAUAAGAAUUACUUAAUUUAAUACUUAUGUAUUGCUGUUUUAAGAUUUAUUUUAAAAAUUUUAUUAUAAUUUAUUAAUUUAAAUAAAAUAAUUCAAGUCAAAAUAUAGUUUAGUUAAGAAUUAAAAUGAGUUACAAUAAAUUAAAUUUAUAUGGAUUUUAAAAUUUAAAUUUUAAAUAAAAGUGGAUUUAAAAGUAAAUUAAAUAAAUUAAUUUAAUUGAAAAUUGUUUUUAAAUGUGU
rnacentral:rRNA from 1 species